UACGUAGGGGGCAAGCGUUGUCCGGAAUCAUUGGGCGUAAAGCGCGUGUAGGCGGCUCGGUAAGUCUGCUGUGAAAGUCCAGGGCUCAACCCUGGGAUGCCGGUGGAUACUGUCGAGCUCGAGUCCGGAAGAGGAGAGUGGAAUUCCUGGUGUAGCGGUGAAAUGCGCAGAUAUCAGGAAGAACACCAAUGGCGAAGGCAGCUCUCUGGGACGGUACUGACGCUGAGACGCGAAAGCGUGGGGAGCGAACAGG
rnacentral:rRNA from 1 species